AUGAACUUCCUGCAGGGAUGCAGCAUGGGGUGUGGAUGGGGUGAAGACUGGAGGUCCAGACCCCGGGCAGCCAGGGCCGGGGAAGCUGCUCACUGGAGGCCAGAGGGCCUGGACCCUUCUCCCAGGGGUCGAGAAACCCCACAGCAGCCUUGUGCCCAGAAAGAAUGUGGCCAAGAGAGUGCCUUCUGCCAUCUGUGCCUCAGUGCCAAGAAAGCGUGGAAGCCAUGCCUGCCCUUCAUGUGUCGAUGUGGGCGGGGAGUCCUCUGCCUAUGGUCCCUCUCCAACAACCCUGGCCUGCUCUGGAAGGAAACUGGAACAGCAUUCCCCUUAUCCGAGGGGAAGCACUGUGAGACUCCCAGUGAACGCCUAGAAGUGCACACAGCUACCCACACUGAACAGGUCUCCAUCUCAAAGUGCUGAUCGCCACGGUGGCUGUGAUUGUGGUGGCAAAGCUAGCAUUCCUGUCCCCUGCCUUCUUGGGGACUUCAGAGACAGAUUUGUUCUCACUGGAGAAUUCAGCACAUGACUCUUUUUUCGGCCUGAAGUGGAGCUCUUUCGCUUUGUCACUUGAAGCUGUCCCAGCUCCCCUUGGCCGAUCAGAGCGGGCAGCAUCAAGCCCUUCAGCUGGGGGCCGUUCAUUAUUCAGAGGCAUCCUGGCAGCUGAGCAGAGGCACCACCACCCUGCGCCAGGCAGGCUGGUGACCGGGCUGCCGCUGAGCAGGGUCGGGCAGGCCAGGUGGCACGCUGGAUGGGACAGCUCGUCAGAGCCACAUGCCACCACGCCAGGCAGGACAGAGGGCAACCUGACACUCCGCAGGUUUGCGGCCACAACUUUCCAUUUAAGAUUCCCAGAACACCGCUGGCGGUGAGUGAAUCGGGCGGGGUGCAAGGUCCGUAGCGGGGUUCAGACCAGGAGCUUGGAGCCCCAGUCGGAGGCGCCUCCAGGACAGGCACCCGCGGAGGUGCUGUCACCCCUAAGACGCUGUGGGCGCGCAGGAGGCAGGGCUCCUCUUGAUCGCCACCUCACAGCCUGCAGAACCCCGAGGUCUCCACCGCCCCGAAGGCGGGACCCUCGGGCGGCUCUGCUCAGCAGGUGAGGGCGCAGACAGCUGCAG
rnacentral:lncRNA from 1 species